UACAGAGGGGGCAAGCGUUGUUCGGAAUUACUGGGCGUAAAGGGCGCGUAGGCGGCCUGUUAAGUCGAACGUGAAAUCCCCGGGCUCAACCCGGGAACUGCGUCCGAUACUGGCAGGCUUGAAUCCGGGAGAGGGAUGCGGAAUUCCAGGUGUAGCGGUGAAAUGCGUAGAUAUCUGGAGGAACACCGGUGGCGAAGGCGGCAUCCUGGACCGGCAUUGACGCUGAGGCGCGGAAAGCCAGGGGAAGCAAAGCGGGG
rnacentral:rRNA from 1 species